rnacentral:rRNA from 1 species
UCAGGACGAACGCUGGCGGCGUGCCUAAUACAUGCAAGUCGAACGGUCUUUUCUAUGGAAGCUUGCUUCCACUGAAAAGAUAGUGGCGAACGGGUGAGUAACACGUGGGUAACCUGCCCAUAAGAGGGGGAUAACAUCCGGAAACGGGUGCUAAUACCGCAUAGUUUUCUUGAUCGCAUGAUCGGGAAAGGAAAGACGGCCUUUGUGCUGUCGCUUAUGGAUGGACCCGCGGCGUAUUAGUUAGUUGGUGAGGUAACGGCUCACCAAGACGAUGAUACGUAGCCGACCUGAGAGGGUGAUCGGCCACAUUGGGACUGAGACACGGCCCAAACUCCUACGGGAGGCAGCAGUAGGGAAUCUUCCGCAAUGGACGAAAGUCUGACGGAGCAACGCCGCGUGAGUGAAGAAAAGGUUUUCGGAUCGUAAAACUCUGUUGUCAGAGAAGAACAAGUUGGAGAGUAACUGCUCCAGCCUUGACGGUAUCUGACCAGAAAGCCACGGCUAACUACGUGCCAGCAGCGGC